rnacentral:rRNA from 1 species
GAGAGUUUGAUCCUGGCUCAGGAUGAACGCUGGCGGCGUGCUUAACACAUGCAAGUCGAGCGAAGCAUUAAAACAGAUUUCUUCGGAAAGAAGUUUUAAUGACUGAGCGGCGGACGGGUGAGUAACGCGUGGGUGACCUGCCUCAUACAGGGGGAUAACAGACAGAAAUGUCUGCUAAUACCGCAUAAGCGCACAGUGCUGCAUGGCACAGUGUGAAAAACUCCGGUGGUAUGAGAUGGACCCGCGUCUGAUUAGCUAGUUGGUAAGGUAACGGCUUACCAAGGCGACGAUCAGUAGCCGGCCUGAGAGGGUGAACGGCCACAUUGGGACUGAGACACGGCCCAAACUCCUACGGGAGGCAGCAGUGGGGAAUAUUGCACAAUGGGGGAAACCCUGAUGCAGCGACGCCGCGUGAAGGAAGAAGUAUUUCGGUAUGUAAACUUCUAUCAGCAGGGAAGAAAAUGACGGUACCUGACUAAGAAGCCCCGGCUAACUACG